rnacentral:tRNA from 1 species
GGCGCUUUGGCGGAGUGGUUAUCGCGUGGCACUAGAAUCAUUUAGCAUUCUAAAGCAAAUCCUGCUCAACAAGAUAUGCCAUUCCCUCUGGGAGCAUAGGUUCAAAUCCUGUAGGCGUCG